UUUAGGAUUUAGAAUUUAAGAUUUGCUUAGGAUUUGAUUAAGGUUUGGUUAGAAUUUAGAGUUGGACUAGAAUGUAGGAUUUGAACUAGAAUUUUUUUAAAAUUUAAGAUUUAGAAUUUAGGAUUUUCUUAGGAUUUGGUUAAGGUUUAGUUAAGAUUUAAGAUAGAAUUAGGAUUAAAGAUUUGAUUUAAGAUUUUUUUAGGAUUUAGGAUUUAAGAUUUGUUUAGUAUUUAGGAUUUAAUAUUUGUUUAAGAUUUGUUUAGGAUUUAGAAUUUGAUCUAAGAUUUGAUUGAAGUCUAUUAGGAUUUCAAGUAGGCUUAAAUUAAGACUUGAUUGAGAUUUAUUUAUGAUAUAUUUGUGAUUAUUCUAAUAUUUUUUUACAAUUUCUUAAGGAUU
rnacentral:lncRNA from 1 species